rfam:Shewanella baltica OS223 plasmid pS22301, complete sequence.
UUAUCCGCGAGGAUUGGUCUGAAGGAAGCCGCUAGCAAAUUUGCGAGCUGAUGAACAAGAACAUCAUAUGAGGCGUAGGCUAGAGGUGAGUUGGCACAAGACGACGAAACCAUGUGAUCUAAUGGCCACCGUAAAUGAUGCUGCUGUGCAAAGAAAGUUCAUGUU